UACUUCCUGUCUAGGAGGCAGCCAAGCGCCCGGACCAUGCCCGGUCCGACAGGACUGGGUCCGGGCGCUUGUCUUUCUCCUAGACAGAGUACUAGACCCUGGCACCG
rnacentral:miRNA from 1 species